rnacentral:misc_RNA from 1 species
UUUCCUUCUCAUUCUUCGUGUCAAUUACCCUAUUCUUUGCAAUCUGAAUCUCAUUUGACAUUCCCAAAAUACACUGUACAUUGUUGUCACAUUCCUCUUCAAAUUUUUGGGUCAAAGCUUCUACUCCUGUCAAAGUACCGUUUACUUUCACUGAAAUAUCUGUGACCAUCCUCUUACAAGCUUCAUUGGUAGCAGCUAUUAUCCCAGACAACGUAGCAAUCCUUUCCUCCAGCACUCUCAGCUCUUGCUGAUAACUUGCUUCUGCUUUCCUAGAGCUCUCUUCCUUCUCAGCUAGUAAUUGUUCCGUGACCCGGAGCUUCUGGUUCGACAACCGGAGCUUAACUUCAAUAUUGCGGACAUUCUCAACCAACGUAUUCAAAUCAUCUCCUUUUACUUCAAGAUCUCUUUUCAGGUCCUCAAUUGUUUCUUCCAUUUCAGCAACUAUCUGAUCUUUGGAAUCAGUAUUCUUCUGGAAUUCUUCUGCCAUUUCUUCUACUUUCCUUUCAACUGCUUUGAUGUUUUCCUUGCUCUCCUGGAACCAACCUUCCACUUGCUUGUACUCCUCACUCAGCUUCUUGUAUGCCUCCUCCUGUUCCGCCAGCAUUUUUUGCUGAUCUGCAAUUUUGCUUAUGAACUGAGACUUCUGAUUUUCCAUUUCUGUCUGGCUUUCUGAAAAUAUUUGUUUCUCUUUCUCAAGCUGCAACUGCAAUUGAUUUUUCUCAGCCAGUAAGGAAUCUAAUUCCAGUUGCAGAUUGUCAGCCUGUAAAGUCAAGGCCAUUAUCUGAGCAGAAGCUUCAGUCUCUCCUUUUUCUUGUCUCUCCUGGAGCGCAGAGAACUCUAGCCCUCUCUCUGUUGAUGUUCUUUCCAAUUCAAAAAUUUUAUUCUGUAACCCAAGCAUUUCCUCUUCUAACCUCCCCCUUUCUUUGAUUUCAGUUCUUACUUGCUCUUCAAGAUCAAUUUUCUGGUUGUGUAAAUUCUCCACCUUCAAUUCCAGAUUUUUCAUUUGCACUGUCAAGUUUUCUCUCUCCCCAAGCAUUCUCUGAUAAUCUUCAGUCUUGUGUGCUAUCUCCUCUUUCAGAUUUUCCAUCUGAAGCUGAACCAGGAAAGUUUCUUGAGUUUUUUUCUCCAGUUGCACUUCCAGUUCAGCUUUCUCAUUUUGCAAGGACUCCAGUUGCUGUUGUAACUCACUAACUUGAUCUAUGAGACCCUUGACUUGAAUUGAUGCUUCAUUUCCCUUAAUUAUCAUAUGUUCUUCCAACUCUGCUUUCUGUGUGUGUAAAGAUUCCAAGUCUGCUAGAAGAGUGUUGACUUGUGAUGUCAGGCUUUCGACUCUAGACAAUGAUUCUUUCUCAUUAACAUCAAGUUUCUUUGUGAGAGCAGACAGUUCAUCUCCUCUCUCUUUUGACAUCAUUUCAAGUUCUGAAAUUUGGGCCUUUAGUAUUAAGUUAUCUUCUUUCACUCCUUUUACUUCAGACACUUUGCUGUCAAUCUGCACCUCCAUAUCUCUAUUCUGGGCUCUCAAUGACUCCAGCUCCAGUUCCAGGCCAGUCACUUGAGCCUUUAAUUGCUCUAUCUGAGCUGAUGAUUCAUUACCAUGUGCCUUGUGCGUCUCUGCAAGAGAUGACAACUCCCUUUCCUUCUCAAUCAAUUUCUCCUUUAGUUGACCUGAUUCAGACAGGAGUUCUGGUAUUGUAUUAUGUGCCAGCUGAAUCUCAUUUGAAAUUUCUGAAACUUUUAAGGUUAGAGAAGCAUUCUCUUCACAAGCAACUUCCAAACUGUGAUUAAGAUCUGAUAUCAUCUGCUCUGUAGAUUCCAGUUGCUGCCUCCUGCUGGAAAGUUCCUCUCUAAGAAUUUCUAUUUCUUGCCCCAGCCUUGUUUUCUCAUCCUGCAAUUGACCAGCCAAGAUUCUCAAGUCCUCAGUGGUCUUCUCUAUCUCUUCAAUUCUUCUCAAAGCAGUCUCUUUCUCCGUGAGCAGGCUGUCUUUCUCUCUAGUCAUAUCUUCCAAUCUUGAAUCCUGUACCAAAAUUGACGAGGUAAGAGAUUUAUUUUCUUCCUCAGAAUGUGUCAAU